AGUGAACGCUGGCGGUAGGCCUAACACAUGCAAGUCGAACGGCGGCACAGUAAGAGCUUGCUCUUACGGGUGGCGAGUGGCGGACGGGUGAGGAAUACAUCGGAAUCUACUUUUUCGUGGGGGAUAACGUAGGGAAACUUACGCUAAUACCGCAUACGACCUACGGGUGAAAUCAGGGGAUCUUCGGACCUUGCGCGAUUGAAUGAGCCGAUGUCGGAUUAGCUAGUUGGCGGGGUAAAGGCCCACCAAGGCGACGAUCCGUAGCUGGUCUGAGAGGAUGAUCAGCCACACUGGAACUGAGACACGGUCCAGACUCCUACGGGAGGCAGCAGUGGGGAAUAUUGGACAAUGGGCGCAAGCCUGAUCCAGCCAUACCGCGUGGGUGAAGAAGGCCUUCGGGUUGUAAAGCCCUUUUGUUGGGAAAGAAAAGCAGCAGGUUAAUACCCCGCUGUUCUGACGGUACCCAAAGAAUAAGCACCGGCUAACUUCGUG
rnacentral:rRNA from 1 species